CUGGGAUAGGAGAGAUGAUGCUGCUCAAGUCCAAAUCUGGGUACAGCGCAUCUCGACCGUCUUUGUACCUGAUGCAAUAAGAAGCGAACCCACCUUCGAAGAUUUCUUCUUUAAACUCUUCAGAGUUCUUGAAGUUCUCUAUGGUUUGGUUCAAGGCUUCUCUUGCCGACUUUGCUUUCGCUCUCGCCAACUCUACGUCUGCUCUUGCGGAAGCCGACUCAUCAUCGGUCAAUGCCAACUUUUCUAGGGUGGGCCGAUGUCUUCCACGUUCGACCUCGA
rnacentral:lncRNA from 1 species